rnacentral:rRNA from 1 species
UUUUUUAAUUGGAAGCUAGAAUGAAUGGUUGAAUAAGAAAUUAACUGUUUCAAUAAAAAUUAUAAUUGAAUUUUUUUUUUAGUUAAAAAACUUAAAUAAAUUUAAAAGACGAGAAGACCCUAUAGAGUUUUAUAUUAAAAUUAUUACAUUUAUAAGUAAAAUGUAAGAUUUAAUAAUUAAUAUAUUUUAUUGGGGUGAUAAUAAUAUUAAAAAAACUAUUAUUUUUUAAAACAUUAAUUUAUGGUUAUUUGAUCCAAUUUUAUUGAUUAAAAAUUUAAAUUACCUUAGGGAUAACAGCGUAAUAUUUUUGGAGAGUUCAAAUCGAUAAAAAUGGUUGC